GGACUACCAGGGUAUCUAAUCCUGUUUGCUCCCCACGCUUUCGUGUUUCAGUGUCAGAAAUGGGCCAAGGAGCUGCCUUCGCCAUCGGUGUUCCUCUCGAUAUCUACGCAUUUUACCGCUACUCCGAGAAUUCCACUCCUCUCUCCCAUCCUCUAGCAUACUAGUUUCCACCGCGAUUUCCCGGUUAGGCCAGGAGAUUUAACAACAGACUUAAUACACCACCUACACACCCUUUACGCCCAGUAAUUCCGAAUAACGCUUGCACCCUUCGUAUUACCGCGGCUGCUGGCAC
rnacentral:rRNA from 1 species